CUGCUACCAUGUGUGACACUACUGCAUGAGAGUGGCCACAUAGAAAGAAAACACACACACACACUCACAUACAUACACACACGUAUACUCUCUGUCUCUGUCUCUCUGUUUCUCUCCCCCCUCUGUCUGUCUCUCCCUCUCUUUCUUUCUUUCUUUCUUUCUUUCUUUCUUUCUUUCUUUCUUUCUUUCUUUCUUUCUUUCUUUCUUUCUUUCUUUCUUUCUUUCUUUCUUUCUUUCUUUCUUUCUUUCUUUCUUUCUUUCUUUCUUUCUUUCUUUCUUUCUUUCUUUCUCUCUCUUUCUUUCUUUCUGUCCCUUCCCCUCUGUCUUUCUUCCUCUAGCUUUCUCUCUCUUUCCACCUUCUCCCCCUUCUCUUUUUCUCUCUGUCCCUUCUUCCCUCUUUCUCUCCUUCUCUCCCUCCCUUUUUCUUCCUUCCUUCCUUCCUUCCUUCCUUCCUUCCUUCCUUCCUCCCUUCCUCCCUUUCUCUCUUUCUCUCUUUCUCUCUUUCUUUCUUUCUCUCUCUCUUUCUCUCUCUCUUUCUUUCUUUCUUUCUUUCUUUCUUUCUUUCUUUCUUUCUUUCUUUCUUUCUUUCUUUCUUUCUUUCUUUCUUUCUUUCUUUCUUUCUUUCUUUCUUUCUUUCUUUCUUUCUUUCUUUCUUUCUUUCUUUCUUUCUUUCUUUCUUUCUUUCUUUUUCUUCCUUUCUUCCUUUCUGACAUAUAUCCAAUAGUAGUAUUGCUGCAUCAAAGGAUGUGUGCAGUUUAGUCACUUUUGGGGUAUAAUUCCAAAUUGUUUUCUAUGAUGUUUGGAGUUGUUUUUCACACUUAUUACAUCAGUGCAUCCUUUUUUAACAAUUGUCAUUUCCUUUUUGUGGAAUCUUUAUCAUUUUGAUGUGUCAGAUGUAAACUUAAGAGUUAUUUAAAUAUGCAUUUCUUUUAUUAAUGAUGUGGAGCAUUUCACAUUCCCUUCCAUCUUUUUAAAAACAUUGGAUAUGCUCAUGAAAAAGUAUUACUGAUACUUACAAUGUUACCUAAUAUACAAUGAGUGUUUUUAGGCAGAGGAUUCUAUAUUUUUAUUCAAACUUUAAGAAUUUUCUCAUGAAGCUAGACUUUGAAAAUUGGGUACUGUUUAUUCCACAUCCAAUUCUGUCCAGAAAAUUUGGCAGGUCGAAGCUUCUGGUAAGUUUACUAACUGAUUGCAUAUGACAGGUGGUUGGCAUUCAAGGUGUAUCCAAAUGAAGGUGCCAUACAACCAAUGCAUGGAUGUGAGAAGUAGGCAGAGGUCACUACUUGUUUAUUUUUUAGCUUAACAUGAGGCCUUUCCUCCACACUUAAAAAGUUAUUACUCAUAAAAUGGAAAUGAAUCUCUGUUAACUUGAACAUUUUCAUUACCACCAAUUUAAUCCCUUCCCCCAUUCAUCUUAUAAUAAAGCCCCAAGAAAAAAAGCA
rnacentral:lncRNA from 1 species